UACGUAGGUGGCAAGCGUUGUCCGGAAUUAUUGGGCGUAAAGCGCGCGCAGGCGGUCCUUUUAAGUCUGAUGUGAAAGCCCACGGCUCAACCGUGGAGGGUCAUUGGAAACUGGGGGACUUGAGUGCAGAAGAGGAAAGCGGAAUUCCACGUGUAGCGGUGAAAUGCGUAGGAGAUGUGGAGGAACACCAGUGGCGAAGG
rnacentral:rRNA from 1 species